AUUUGACCUGGAGGGGACCAUGGAUUCUAUGCCUGAAUAAGGGCAUAAAAGUGAUAUUGACACAUCCCCCGUCCCUUUAAAGAGGAAAAAGACAGCUGACCAAGGGGGAAGGUCUCAGGUGGCAAAAGAGACUCCCUAGCUCUCAGACGAGCCUAGCGAGGUUGCUCUUAUUCCUAGGUCGGGUUCUUCUAGUCGCACGCGGGGUAGCGUGAGGAUUCACUUCCUAAUUUCAGGUUUCCUCCCACCCGGGGUUAUCAUGAGAUGGGGAUGCUUAAGUAUUUGGUAACACCCGCACGGGCUAGGGCAAUUGCAGGACGUAGCACAGACGACAUCAAAAGGGUUGCGACGGUCUAUCUCUAGAGGGUAUGCUUCUAAUUCCAAUUUUCUUUUACACUGAGUCUUAUCUUUUGACCAUCAUUUUACCACGCGAGUCUCUCAUUGUCUCCUCAUCCUUUAGGUGGUGGCCCUUCAGACCAGGCUUGCUAAAUCGAGUCGUCGUCAGGCCUUAGAGUUGAAGACUCUUGUAGAAGAAAAGAAGAAAGAGGCCCAUCAUUAUAAAAAAAAAGAUAGUUUCCUUCAAGAAAUCUCUAGAGGCGUCGGAAGCUCGAGCCCGCGAGCAGGAGAUAGAGAAUGACAAUUUUUGGUCUGCGUUGGCUCGUGCUUCGGAGGAGGCAGUUGAGAGGUAUAAGGCCUUUGUCGAGUAUACUAAGGACUUAGAUGCAUCGGUGAAGCAGUACAAGUCAUCGUCUGACUAGGUCAGGGACUUGCAUUCGUACGGGGGAAGGCACUGGCGGCAUCUAUCAAACUAACCAAGGAGUGGAUAUCGAUCGAGCACCCUUCUAUUGACCCCUCAGGUUUUGAUAAGUUUCUUGUGCAGCGUAAGGGGAAGGAGAGUAGGGUGCAGCCAUCCAGGUCACUUAGUCAUUCGUUGUGGGGCGACAAUGGCGGUUCUUCUCCUUCGAGUUAAAGUAUGGCUUAGUGUUAGUACCUUUUGUUAGUCCCCCUCUUUUUUGUAUUGCCUUUUAUAUGUACUUGUAGCAUCAUUCUUUACUUGUCUUGGGUGUAGACAAGAGCACAUCACAUGUUUUUUGUAUAAAUGCUAUGUUAUCAGCGCUUAUUAAUGUUGAACACAUCGUUCUUUUAACUUAUUUUUUAGCGUUG
rnacentral:lncRNA from 1 species